rnacentral:rRNA from 1 species
UACAGAGGGGGCAAGCGUUAUUCGGAAUUAUUGGGCGUAAAGGGCGCGUAGGUGGCCCGGCAAGUGGAAGGUGAAAUCCCUCGGCUCAACUGAGGAACUGCCUUCCAAACUGUUAGGCUUGAGUCCGGGAGAGGUGAGUGGAAUUCCCAGUGUAGCGGUGAAAUGCGUAGAUAUUGGGAGGAACACCAGUGGCGAAGGCGGCUCACUGGACCGGAACUGACGCCGAGGCGCGAAAGCGUGGGGAGCAAACGGG